rnacentral:lncRNA from 10 species
CGUUGUAUAUAACCACUAUUUAAUUAAUGAGUCAAGUAAAAGGCCAUAAAAACCCUAUUAUAAAAGAUCUCUAUACAUUUAUAAAUUGUGUGUGUCUGUGUGUGUAUGUAUUUAGAGAGACAGCAAACAGUCUAGCAAACAAAAAAAUGCUGAAAUUGAAGACACUUUUAGAAGAAAACUGCUUAGAUUCUGGUGGAGGAUGCACAAAUAAAUGGCUCUUUGUAGGAAAAAAAAUUCACUUGAACAAAAGAGAGACAAGG